AAGUCGUAACAAGGUUUCCGUAGGUGAACCUGCGGAAGGAUCAUUAUUGAAUAGCUCGUAGUGCUGUGCUGGCCCUCUCGGGGGCAUGUGCACGCAUUGCAUUCUAUUAUCAUCUUCUUGUGAACCAGUGUAGGCUUUUGACUAGUAGUUUGGUGAGAGCUCGCAAGGGCUGAAGCCUUUACGAACGUCAGAAGUCUAUGAUUUUAUAAACCAUUUGUAUGUCUUAGAAUGUCACUUUAUUGACUGCAAAGUCAGUAAAACUAUACAACUUUCAGCAACGGAUCUCUUGGCUCUC
rnacentral:misc_RNA from 1 species